CUUGGGUCCUGAAGAUGCUCCACUCACCCGAGCGGCUCGACUUCCAGCUGGUGCCUGCAUCCUCUCAGACGGCUGUUCAUCUUGCAUGCUGUCUGCUGGCUUCACUCCUGAGGCUCUUGCUUAGAUGCAGAAGGCUGACAGUCUAGCUCUGACUCCCCCACCCCAUGCUCCCUCCAGCCCCCACACUGGUUCAGGAAUUUCCACUCCAUAUGCCCUUGACUGAGGCUGGUAGCUACAGCCAGCCAAAGCCUCUCCACCCCAUGAUUCAGAAAAGGGUAGCUAAUUAUGUAGUCUUCAAGAAGGAAAAUCUGAGGGCGAUUUUAAUAACAGGCUGCAAACAUGAAGGGUUAUUAGCAGGAAGCUGGUGACCACCUGUUCCCCCUCUCUCGGCUAUCGCUAAGAGGAACAGAGAUGGGUUUUACUGCAGAAAGAGGAGCCCGUGCCAGGUUAGGCAUAAACAUGACAGCACUGAUGUAGUUUCAAGGGGUAGCAUAUAAAAUCUGCUUUCCUAGGAUUUAUGACAAGAAAAGCAGCUUUGGAUCUGAUGUGUCAUCUUCCCCAGAGGCAGAGAGGAGGACCUGAGGCUGGGAGCAUCUUUGAGACGGGAUGUCAUCUUACUCAUGCCGAUCCCCAGCACCUGGUGCACUGUGGACCAGUGGUUCUCAAAGUAUGGUCCCUGGACCAGCAGCUGCUGCAACUUCUGGGACCUUGUUGGAAAUGCAGUCGCAGAUCCCACCCACACUGACUGAAUCAGAAACUCUGGGGGUGGGGACCAGCAAGCUGUGUUUCAGCAAGCCCUCCAGAAGAUUCUGAUGCUAACUGAUGUGUGAGAAGCACUGUGUAUUCUUCACCUGGGAUCUCAGUCAAUGCCAGUUUCUGACUGAGCAGGUCUCCCGGGCAGGGCCUGAGAGCCUGAAUUUCUAACAAGCUGUAAGCGAUGCUGCUCCACUUUGGAUGCUGAAUGUCCUCAAAGAUCUGUGCAUUCCAGGCUUUGUUCCUAGGGUGGCGCUACUGAAAUGUAGUAGGACCUUUAAGAGGGCUGCUCUAGUGGGAGGUCCUUAGGUCCUUGGGCAGAUUAUGGGACCUCUUUCUCUUCCUUUUCUUGCCUCGUUGGCCAUGACAUGUACUUCUGCCAUGUUAUGCUGCCUCACCAUAGGCCCAGAGCCACAAGGCCAACCAAUCAUGGAAAACCUCCCAAACUGUAAU
rnacentral:lncRNA from 1 species